GCCCAGUUAGCUUGGUGGGUAGAGCAUCUGCCUUGUAAGCACUAGGCCGCGGGUUCGAUUUCCACCCGGAGCG
rfam:Asian citrus Psyllid, Diaphorina citri - Florida Strain, whole genome shotgun sequence.